rnacentral:rRNA from 1 species
CCCUAUGGGGUGCAGCAGCUAGGGAUUUUUUGCAAUGCGCGCAAGCGUGACAAAGCGAGCCAGAGUGUCCUUCCUUAUUUGGAUGGACUUUUGCCAGUUGUAAAAAGACUGGCGAAUAAGGACUGGGCAAGACCGGUGCCAGCCGCCGCGGUAAUCCCGGCGGUCCAAGUCGCAUCCGCUUUUAUUGGGUCUAAAACAUCCGUAGCUUGCUAAGUAAGUCUUUUGUGAAAUCUCACGUCUCAAGCGUGGGGCGUGCAAGAGAUACUGCUUAGCUAGAGACCGGGGGACGUAAGAAGUACGAGGAGGGUAGUGGUUAAAUACGUUAAUCCUUCUCGGACUAACGAUAGCGAAGGCAUCUUACGAUUACGGACCUGACAGUAAGGGAUGAAGGCCAGGGGCGCAAAACGGAUUAGGUACCCGUGUAGUCCUGGCAGUAAACGCUGCACACUAAACAUCGGUACCUCCUCGAGAGGUGUCGGUGCUGUAGAGAAGUCGUAGAGUGUGCUACCUGGGAAGUAUAGUCGCAAGGCCGAAACUUAAAGGAAUUGGCGGGGAGACACCACAACGAGUGACGCGUACGGUUCAAUUAGAUUCUACACCGUGAACCUCACCAGGAACGACAGCAGAAUGAAGGUCAGUCUGAAGGGCUUACUUGACACGCUGAGAAGAGGUGCAUGGCC